rnacentral:rRNA from 1 species
UGGGGAAUAUUGCACAAUGGGCGCGAGCCUGAUGCAGCCAUGCCGCGUGUAUGAAGAAGGCCUUCGGGUUGUAAAGUACUUUCAGCGGGGAGGAAGGGAGUAAAGUUAAUACCUUUGCUCAUUGACGUUACCCGCAGAAGAAGCACCGGCUAACUCCGUGCCAGCAGCCGCGGUAAUACGGAGGGUGCAAGCGUUAAUCGGAAUUACUGGGCGUAAAGCGCACGCAGGCGGUUUGUUAAGUCAGAUGUGAAAUCCUCGGGCUCAACCUGGGAACUGCAUCUGAUACUGGCAAGCUUGAGUCUCGUAGAGGGGGGUAGAAUUCCAGGUGUAGCGGUGAAAUGCGUAGAGAUCUGGAGGAAUACCGGUGGCGAAGGCGGCCCCCUGGACGAAGACUGACGCUCAGGUGCGAAAGCGUGGGGAGCAAACAGG